rnacentral:rRNA from 1 species
AUUUGUUUUAGUUAUUUUUUUGAAAAUUAAAGAUUUUGGCGGGGUUUUUGUUUUUUUAGAGGGACCUGUUUUGUAAAUGAUUGUUCCCGAUUUACUUUAAUUAAAUAAUUUGUAAAUUGUUGGUGUUUUGAAUAUUUUAUAAGAAUUUUAAUGUUCAAUUUUUAAGAUAAAAAUUUAAGUCAGAUCAAGGUGCAGUUUAUAUUUAAGAAGAAAUGGGUUACAAUAAAUUUAUUUAAAUGGUUUGGUAAUUGAAAUUUUAUCAUUAAAUUGGGAAAGUAAAAUCUUUAAUAAACGAUUGAUAAGUUAAAUU